UACAGAGGGUGCGAGCGUUAAUCGGAAUUACUGGGCGUAAAGCGCGCGUAGGCGGCUUUUCAAGUCGAUUGUGAAAUCCCCGGGCUUAACCUGGGAACUGCAGUCGAGACUGUCUAGCUAGAGUAUGGGAGAGGGAAGUGGAAUUUCAGGUGUAGCGGUGAAAUGCGUAGAUAUCUGAGGGAACAUCAGUGGCGAAAGCGACUUCCUGGACCAAUACUGACGCUCAUGUGCGAAAGCGUGGGGAGCAAACAGG
rnacentral:rRNA from 1 species